rnacentral:tRNA from 1 species
GCUUAUAUAGCUCAAAGGUAGAGCAACUGAUUUGUAAUCAGUUGGUUGGGGGUUCAAGUCCCUUUGUAAGCA